AAAGUCUAAAAGUUUAAAUGUGAGCAAUCUUCUGUGGAGAAGCUAUGUUUUUAACAGUCAUGUAUGUAGUCUCCUUUUUGAGAUUUUUUUUUUUCCUUUCCCAGAAAAAUGAUUUUGGUAACCAGUUUUAGAACAAUUUUUCCCUCAAUUGUAAACCACACAUUUAGAGAAAUAAAAGUGGACUCACUUUCUUAAGCAUUACAUUUAGCCUAACCAAGAUACACUGUGAUUGUGUUAUUCUUUAAGACAGCUUGCUUUUCUGACUUGUCAUAAAAUAUCUUUUGAAGUGAACAAAUUAAAUAAUAUAGUAUUAAUUUUCCGUAUAGCUCAGUUUAGAAACUGUAAAGAGACAUUUUUCUGUGAGCAGAUUCUUUUAUGGAAAUAGGUUUUUGUUUAUAAUGAGAUUUCUUCCCACAGCUGAGUCUGCAGCCUCAGAAGAAGAGUAUAGGAAAACUUAGGGCCUCCUUUUCUUGUGUUGGUCUUGGCAACAAACAAUAUUCCACCUUUUCAAUGGAAAAGAUGGGAGGUUGGGGGGGUUAUGAAUGCAGCUUGGGAAAGAUGUUAGAGUUUUUUUUUUUUUGUCAACUCUUAGAAAUUAGAAGUAUCUCUUGGCCAGAAAUUAAGAUCCAUUUAGAUAAAGAUAGAGCUAGAUCCUCAGAACCAAAGUUGGACUGCAGAUUAGGUUGAGCAGAAAGGUGCAGCUCAUCCACAGCCAGUAGAAUCUGUCUUUCUGGAUCUGCUUAUUGACGCUGUGGAUAGUUCCUUCUCUCUGUUAGAACAUCUCCCAGACUGGAAACAUGGUGUUAGAGCAGCCAGCUCAUCUGAAAGUUGAAGAGUGUUAAACAUCUCUAAUGGGACUUUUAAAUAAUAACAUUUAUUGGUUUUGUAUUAUUAUGUUUAUCAUAGAAAUUUAGAAAAUUACAGAGUGUGAAGAAGGAAAGCCACUCUUAUUUAACUGUUGAGACUUACUCAUUUUACUUUACUUCUGUUACCCUAACAUGGUAAAGACCAGGAAAAAAAUAAAAAAUCUUGACACAGCCAUUCCAUUGUCCACAAGCACUUUUCCUUUAAAACAUUAUCCUUUUUAGAUAAGCCAUCUGAAAAUAAUUGUUGAAAUGUAAUUUUUAAGCCUAAACUAUAGAUAUAAGAUACUACCCAAAAGCUAUAUAGGGAGCUGCCUUGUUCAGGUCAUUUGAAAUUUUAUCUCUAAGAUUAAUUUGAAUUUUAAAACGCUUUAUGUACCGUUAUAGACAUUUGGAGCAUAUUCAUAACAAAGAGCUUUCUGUUUAGAUGGACUUUAUUUUAAUAUAAUUAAACUCACACCUAAGAAGGAUAAGGUACUUUUCAAAGGCCAAGGGAAAAGCAGAGAAGAGCAAAGCAAAAGAAAAGAGAUGAACAUAAGUAUAUAAAUAAGGAGUCCUCGACACAAGAUUUCCCUUACCAUGCUUAGCAACUAUCUCUCCAAAAAUGUAUUUCUCUGGUUAUCAGCUAAGAUUUAGGAGCUUUGUAUUUCAUGAGAGUCCUUUUCUUAAUGUAUGAAGGAAGAAACUACAACCUUUCAGGGUCCUACCCCUUGGCCUUUACUCUCCUCUUCUGUAGCAACACGGAUCCUGUAGUGGAGAUCAUGAGAUAGGUCUGGAACCCCUGGCAUGGGCCAGCUAGAAUGUUUAAACAGAAACGUUUUGGGGGCAUCAGGUAUCCUCUGACAUCAUUAGUGUUCUACAUUGCUGGGCUCUGUUGAGUGUGCUCUGUAAUCUUCCUCACCCCGCUCAUGAUCCUCUGUUUUAUCUCACUUUUGCCCUCAGUAUGGACUUUUGAGGGUUUUGUUUUCUUUCUUAGUAUGAGUAAUGUUCUGAUCCCAGGUUUGGUGAAUGUGUUAACACUGCUUUGUGAAUAAAUAGAUGAUCUGCUGAACAGUCGCAGUUGUAGAAUUACGUUGUAUGUAAUGUACAUAUGGAGAAAGAAUGUAUUUUGUUCAUUUUCUUAAUAAAAAGUUAUAUAUGGACACUACAAG
rnacentral:lncRNA from 1 species